UGUCCCCACUGGGCAAGAGAUACCUUGUUGGUGUUGUUCUUAUUAUCGGUCAGGGACAGAGCAGAUGGCAUCCUUUUUUCAUCCUAGCCUGAUGCCUGGCUUGGUGGCCAAAGCUGUUUUAUGUCUAGGACACAUCA